rnacentral:rRNA from 1 species
UGCCAGCCGCCGCGGUAAUACGGAGGGCGCAAGCGUUGUUCGGAAUCAUUGGGCGUAAAGCGGGUGCAGGCGGUGGAGUAAGUCGGAUGCGAAAUCCCGGGGCCCAACCCCGGAACUGCAUUCGAUACUGCUUCACUAGAGUCCCGGAGAGGAUGGCGGAAUUCCCGGUGUAGAGGUGAAAUUCGUAGAUAUCGGGAGGAACACCAGUGGCGAAGGCGGCCAUCUGGACGGUGACUGACGCUCAGACCCGAAAGCGUGGGGAGCAAACCGGAUUAGAUAC